rnacentral:lncRNA from 1 species
UUUUUAUGAAAUUCUUUCUUUUAAUAACAACAAAAUUUUAAAUAAUAAAAAUGCACAAGCUAAAGGGCCAGACCAGGGUGGGGGGUGGAUUAUGAAAUUCUUUCUUUUAAUAACAACAAAAUUUUAAAUAAUAAAAAUGCACAAGCUAAAGGGCCAGACCAGGGUGGGGGGUGGGGGGAGGGGGGUGUACAUUUGAAAAAGGGGCGCUGAGGCCCAAACCAAACUCAUCCAAAACAAAGAGGGCGCGAGUCAGCUAGCAAUUAGGCAUAAGGGAAAGUUUGAAUAUACAGGCCCUAAAAGAAACAACUAGACCCAAUUCAGAUCUAAACCCAACCGAAAUAUAACACAAGAAGGAAAAGGAAGUUGGUUCCACAUACAAACCCUAGCCCCCCUUUCUCUCAUCUCUCUCGCUCUCUAUUUUCAAACCGGAUUCAAACUCCAACCAUCACCAUGAACGAAAGCUAAACAAAACCUAACAAAACCAGUCAAGCCAAUUUAAAUUCAAGUUUUAAAACUAAACCCCCAUUUUGUUCAACAUGACUGAAUAAAAACCUCAAAAGAAACCUAAGUUAGGAAAUAGAAAAUUUGCAGAAUCAUGAAGUAACAACCUACUGAACAAUAAAACUUGGCAAACAAAUCAAGUAAACCAGUUAAACAAAUAACGCAAAAACAUCAUAAUGCAACAAAAAUGAACCCUAAACCCCAAACAGUCCCAUAUCCCUUGUAAUUCUCAUUAUUCACCAAUAUUUACAAUGAUAUAAAUAAAGAGUGAAAAAUGAGAAGAGUCAACCAUAAACAGAGUACAAAGGAGUUCUACCAAAGGAAAACAAAACGCAACGAGACUCAAAUGAUCCUUCCUCUCCUUCUGUCGCUUUCGUUUCUUCUUCUUUUGUGUCCUUCUUUCUCUGCCUAUGUGUUAUGUUUCUAUGUAUGUCGUUUGCUAUUUGUGUCUAGGUUGAACUCAGUUGAACUUAGGGUUGAAAUUUUUGGUGAAGGAUGUGUUUCGCAUCAUAACAGUAAGGAUGUUCUCCCCUCUUUUGCAGGAAUUAACAUGUGUAUUUAUAGGAGACUUGUAAGGGUGAGGUGUGAUUGAUGGAAAGAUUUAGAUCAGAUCAAAAUAGAUAAUUGGAAUUCUGUUAAGAAAAAUGAUUCUCCUGAUUUUAUAGAGUGGAUGUGUGAAGGAAAUCGAAAUCACAUGAGUAGAUAUUUCUAAGAAGUUUAUCUUGUCCUCUCUGUAAUUUCUGAUUUUUACUGAUGUAAUUUGAAAAGAGUUUGUUUUUUACUGAUAAGGCUUUGUAUUCUUUUUACUGGAUGUAAUAAUUCUGAUGUAAUUUACUGAGUAAUUCUUACUGAAUUUGUAAACUCUAUCCAUUCUAAUGAUGCAGUGAAAAAAACUAUUACUGAUACAAAAACUUGGUGGUGGUUAAUGCAAAGGACUCAACUACUAUUAAUGUAAUUUUGUUUAUUUAUUACAUAAAUAGUAAAAAAAAAUAUUAUUUGAGUAA